AUGAUUGUUAAUAACAGAAAACAUCAAACGACAAUGAAAGUGAGCCUGCUGAUAAAGCACGGUGGCUUCUGUGAAAUCAGAAAACGGAUUCUCUCCAAAGCACAACAGGACAACUUGAGUCAGGAGGAGCUGGCAGAUGCCUCCGGAAUGAAGCCCACGUGUCGUCCGAGUGGGGAUUCGAGGCAGCAGCUGGGAUCCAGGCUGGGGGCCCGAGCAUGUUGGCUGGUGGGUCUGGGCAGCUCUGUUGUCAGUCCUUUGCCCAGCCUGGGCCCAGAUAUCUACUUACAAAUGCUGGGCCAUUGUUUCUCUCUACUGGAUAAGAAGUUAAUGUUUUUCUCUGAAGUAUAAAAAAGCAAACAACUUUGUGAAGUUUAUUUUUAAAAAGUGCCAAAUGGAAAUUGAAAUGCUUUUUGAAUUGUUUCCAUGUCUUGGCUGUUGGGAUUAAUGCCGCAGCGAACAUGUGAGUACAAAUAUCUUUCCAAGAUCCUAAUUUCAGUUCUUUUGAAUAAAAUACCCAGAAGUGAGCUUGCUGGAUCA
rnacentral:lncRNA from 1 species